UGCAUUAAGCAGAGGCACAAUCUCAAACUCCUCUACAUCCUGACAAAGAAAUGAAGGCUAUUAAGAUAUGUGAUCAGUUUCAAUAGUUCAUUCUUUUGCUUCCAACACGGAAAAAGGAAUACGCGGUGCAAGGACGUUAUUUAACACUUCAUAGCAAAUGUACAAUGUAUAAACUCCUCGCUUUGUUUACAGUUCUACCAGCCAACGAAAAAUACGAGCACCACCUCUCCAGCCCACCCCUACUUUGCAUUAGAACGAGGGAGCGCGCAGCAACAAGGCCUUCGGGAAAGCAACUGUUGUUGCCAUACGUAAAUCCGUCAUUCUGACCCCGCCCACUCCUAACCCAACCCGCUCCAAGUUUGCCCAGACACGCCUUGUCACAUCGCCCCGCCCAUAACCCCGCCCCACGCUGUUUUCCUCGCCUCUUGCUUUUCUCUCUAUUUUUUUCGUCCACAGCUCUUCCUACCCAGAAUCCCCCGCGGAAGCCCUACAAUGAAAUUUAAGAAGUUUUUUAGGUUUCGGCGCCAUUUUCGAUUGGACUGAGACUUUCUAUUUGAAGUAAGAGCCUUUUUAUCGAAACAAAACCAAGGUUGCUAAGAACCUGCCUGCUAUUGGCUGAUAAGGUAAUGUAUAUUUUAAAGACAGCAGUUUUUCCAAAGGGCAUGAACAAUACACUUAAUUAUCUCUUUACAGAACAUUAAAUGGUGUAGGGCCAAUUUAUAUUUCACCAAUUUGCAAGUUAUUCUAGUUCCUACUGUUCUCACCCACUUUGCUAAAACACCUAUAAUAUAUAUGCAUUACUGCACAACAGAAAUACUAUCUCGCAGGAUGAUACACUACUAGAGAAUUAACAUAAGUUUAGCACAUAGAACAUUUAAUAAAUUACUUAGAUUGUAAGCUGUAUGGGGCAGGGAAGUCUUUUUGUCUCUCAUCACAUAAUCUUGAAUGUAAUUGCAUUUGUGUACAUAUUUUUAUUUUCCCCUGUCUAUUCUUUUUAUUGUUCUGUUUUUAUGUACAGCGCUACACUUGCAAGUAGCGCUAUAUAAAUAAAAAUAUUCACAUCUAA